rnacentral:rRNA from 1 species
GACGAACGCUGGCGGCGUGCUUAACACAUGCAAGUCGAACGGAAAGGCCCUGCUUUUGUGGGGUGCUCGAGUGGCGAACGGGUGAGUAACACGUGAGUAACCUGCCCUUGACUUUGGGAUAACUUCAGGAAACUGGGGCUAAUACCGGAUAGGAGCUCCUGCUGCAUGGUGGGGGUUGGAAAGUUUCGGCGGUUGGGGAUGGACUCGCGGCUUAUCAGCUUGUUGGUGGGGUAGUGGCUUACCAAGGCUUUGACGGGUAGCCGGCCUGAGAGGGUGACCGGCCACAUUGGGACUGAGACACGGCCCAGACUCCUACGGGAGGCAGCAGUGGGGAAUAUUGCACAAUGGGCGGAAGCCUGAUGCAGCAACGCCGCGUGCGGGAUGACGGCCUUCGGGUUGUAAACCGCUUUCGCCUGUGACGAAGCGUGAGUGACGGUAAUGGGUAAAGAAGCACCGGCUAACUACGUGCCAGCAGCCGCGGUGAUACGUAGGGUGCGAGCGUUGUCCGGAUUUAUUGGGCGUAAAGGGCUCGUAGGUGGUUGAUCGCGUCGGAAGUGUAAUCUUGGGGCUUAACCCUGAGCGUGCUUUCGAUACGGGUUGACUUGAGGAAGGUAGGGGAGAAUGGAAUUCCUGGUGGAGCGGUGGAAUGCGCAGAUAUCAGGAGGAACACCAGUGGCGAAGGCGGUUCUCUGGGCCUUUCCUGACGCUGAGGAGCGAAAGCGUGGGGAGCGAACAGGCUUAGAUACCCUGGUAGUCCACGCUGUAAACGGUGGGUACUAGGUGUGGGGUCCAUUCCACGGGUUCCGUGCCGUAGCUAACGCUUUAAGUACCCCGCCUGGGGAGUACGGCCGCAAGGCUAAAACUCAAAGGAAUUGACGGGGCCCCGCACAAGCGGCGGAGCAUGCGGAUUAAUUCGAUGCAACGCGUAGAACCUUACCUGGGUUUGACAUGGAUCGGGAGUGCUCAGAGAUGGGUGUGCCUCUUUUGGGGUCGGUUCACAGGUGGUGCAUGGCUGUCGUCAGCUCGUGUCGUGAGAUGUUGGGUUAAGUCCCGCAACGAGCGCAACCCUUGUUCACUGUUGCCAGCACGUUAUGGUGGGGACUCAGUGGAGACCGCCGGGGUCAACUCGGAGGAAGGUGGGGAUGACGUCAAGUCAUCAUGCCCCUUAUGUCCAGGGCUUCACGCAUGCUACAAUGGCUGGUACAGAGAGUGGCGAGCCUGUGAGGGUGAGCGAAUCUCGGAAAGCCGGUCUCAGUUCGGAUUGGGGUCUGCAACUCGACCUCAUGAAGUCGGAGUCGCUAGUAAUCGCAGAUCAGCAACGCUGCGGUGAGUACGUUCCCGGG